GAGUUUGAUCCUGGCUCAGAUUGAACGCUGGCGGCAGGCUUAACACAUGCAAGUCGAGCGGAAACGAUGGGAGCUUGCUCCCAGGCGUCGAGCGGCGGACGGGUGAGUAACGCGUAGGAAUCUGCCCAGUAGAGGGGGAUAGCCCGGGGAAACUCGGAUUAAUACCGCAUACGCCCUACGGGGGAAAGGCCGGGAUCUUCGGACCGGUCGCUAUUGGAUGAGCCUGCGUAAGAUUAGCUAGUUGGUGGGGUAAAGGCCUACCAAGGCGACGAUCUUUAGCUGGUCUGAGAGGAUGAUCAGCCACACUGGAACUGAGACACGGUCCAGACUCCUACGGGAGGCAGCAGUGGGGAAUAUUGGACGACGGGGGCAACCCUGAUCCAGCCAUGCCGCGUGUGUGAAGAAGGCCUUCGGGUUGUAAAGCACUUUCAGUAGGGAGGAAGGGAGUAGUCC
rnacentral:rRNA from 1 species